AGGACGAACGCUGGCGGCGUGCCUAACACAUGCAAGUCGAACGCUCUCCAUUCAGUAGCAAUACUGAUGAAGAGGGAGUGGCGAACGGGUGAGUACCACGUGAGCAACCUGCCCCGAAGACUGGGACAACACCGGGAAACCGGUGCUAAUACCGGAUAUCCCUAUCGGACCGCAUGAUCUGAUAAGGAAAUGGAUUCCGCUUCGGGAGGGGCUCGCGGCCUAUCAGCUAGUUGGUGAGGUAAUAGCUCACCAAGGCGACGACGGGUA
rnacentral:rRNA from 1 species